rnacentral:rRNA from 1 species
CACGUAGGGUGCGAGCGUUGUCCGGAAUUAUUGGGCGUAAAGAGCUCGUAGGCGGUGUGUCGCGUCGGCCGUGAAAACCUGCAGCUUAACUGUGGGCUUGCGGUCGAUACGGGCAUCACUGGAGUUCGGCAGGGGAGACUGGAAUUCCUGGUGUAGCGGUGAAAUGCGCAGAUAUCAGGAGGAACACCGGUGGCGAAGGCGGGUCGCUGGGACGGUACUGACGCUGAGACGCGAAAGCGUGGGGAGCAAACAGG